UAUACCCCAGAAAAAUUAAAUUAGAAUCUUUGGGGUUGGACUCCAACAUCACCAGUAUUUUUUGAAGGUUGUGCCUGCCAAAUGUGCUGUCAAGGUUGAGAACUACUAUGUUAGGCUCAGAGCAACAGACCCUUGACCAUAAACUCCAGCCUGUGUGCAGAUCUAGGUUCUGUCUUACACUUGAGGAGCCAUCUGCCUGAAGCUUAGAACUCUGGGGUGACCCUGUGGCCCUUUGGUAUCCUGGUUGGAGCCCAGCUGCAACUUAACUUCUUGAAGAUCUGUUUUAUACAAAACCAGUGUGUGUACUGGCACAAGGCUUGGUAUUUACUUUUACCAAAACGUAAAACUCCACAUGCAAAUUGAGACACCUGGCUCUGCAGCAUCCGGGCUCAUUUACAAUACAAUUGCGCCUUCUACCAAGGUUGGCAUUGCUGGUGCAGCAACAUUCGUGUUCAUUGUUUUGAUUUCAUAAUGUCUGGCUGAAGAAGAAUGAGGUAAGAGAAUGACAAUUGAAGCUUGAACCCACUGCUUUUGAAACACAGCUUUGAGAAGAUGGCCUGGUCUCUGGCACAUGAA